UACGUAGGGGCAAGCGUUGUCCGGAAUCAUUGGGCGUAAAGAGCUCGUAGGCGGUUUGUCGCGUCUGCUGUGAAAACCUAAGGCUCAACCUUGGGCUUGCAGUGGGUACGGGCAGACUAGAGUGCGGUAGGGGUGACUGGAAUUCCUGGUGUAGCGGUGGAAUGCGCAGAUAUCAGGAGGAACACCGAUGGCGAAGGCAGGUCACUGGGCCGCAACUG
rnacentral:rRNA from 1 species